GCGCGCGGCUCCUGCGGGCUUUUCUACAAGGAGAAAGAAGGAACUGACUGGCUGUGUUAGUCCCUUCUCCCUCCUGGGGGAAAAGCCCGCAAGAGCCGCGCGA